rnacentral:rRNA from 1 species
AGAGUUUGAUCAUGGCUCAGGAUGAACGCUAGCGGCAGGCCUAACACAUGCAAGUCGAGGGGUAACGGGGAUAGCUUGCUAUCCGCCGACGACCGGCGCACGGGUGCGGAACGCGUAUGAAACCUGCCCCUGUCAGGGGAAUAGCCUUUGGAAACGGAGAUUAAUGCCCCAUGGCACCUUUUCACCGCAUGGUGUAGAGGUUAAAGAUUUAUCGGACAGGGAUGGUCAUGCGUAUCAUUAGCUGGUUGGUAAGGUAACGGCUUACCAAGGCAACGAUGAUUAGGGGCCCUGAGAGGGGGAUCCCCCACACUGGUACUGAGACACGGACCAGACUCCUACGGGAGGCAGCAGUGAGGAAUAUUGGACAAUGGUCGGGAGACUGAUCCAGCCAUGCCGCGUGCAGGAUGACUGCCCUAUGGGUUGUAAACUGCUUUUAUAUGGGAAGAAACCUACUUACGUGUAAGUAGCUGACGGUACCAUAAGAAUAAGGACCGGCUAACUCCGUGCCAGCAGCCGCGGUAAUACGGAGGGUCCGAGCGUUAUCCGGAAUCAUUGGGUUUAAAGGGUCCGUAGCGGGCCUAUAAGUCAGAGGUGAAAGGCCACGGCUCAACCGUGGGACUGCCUUUGAUACUGUAGGUCUUGAGUCGUUGUGGAGUUGCCGGAACAUGUGG